rnacentral:RNase_P_RNA from 2 species
AGUCUUGAGUAAUCGCGGUCUACUUUGGUAGGCUGAGGAAAGUCCAUGCCCGCACAGGCUGUGAUGCCUGUAGUGUUCGUGCCAGGCCCAAUAAGCCUGGGUACCGUGCAAACGGUAACGGCGGCGGAAAGUGCUAAAGCUUCGGCCAUGUGCAAGUACGUUUGAAAGUGCCACAGAGACGAUGCCAACGGGAAACUGUUGGAUUGGAACGCGGUAAACCCCGCGAGCGAGUAACCCAAACUUUGGUAGGGGCGCUUUGCCAUGGGAAUUGAACCAACGGCAAAGCAGUAGAAAUACUGAGAUAGAUGAUUACUGAAGGGUGACCUGCCUGAGGCCACCUGGAACAAAACAUGGCUUAUAGAG